rnacentral:rRNA from 1 species
UCCAAUGAGGCAGCAGGCGCGUAAAUUACCCAAUGUGGACUCCACGAGGUAGUGACGAGAAAUAUCAAUGCGGGGCGCUUCGCGUCUUGCUAUUGGAAUGAGAGCAAUGUAAAACCCUCAUCGAGGAUCAACUGGAGGGCAAGUCUGGUGCCAGCAGCCGCGGUAAUUCCAGCUCCAGAAGCGUAUGCUAAAGUUGUUGCAGUUAAAAAGCUCGUAGUUGAAUUUCUGGCGUGGGAGCCCUGGCCUUUGCGCGAAUGCGCUUUGUUUGCUGUGCGGCUCCUCUGCCAUCCUCGCCGGCUCUUUGGGUUGGCGUCAUUCACUGUAAUUAAAGCAGAGUGUUCCAAGCAGGUCGUAUGAUCUGGAUGUUUAUUAUGGGAUGAUCAGAUAGGACUCGGGUGCUAUUUUGUUGGUUUGCACAUCUGAGUAAUGAUUAAUAGGAACAGUUGGGGGUAUUCGUAUUUAGGAGCUAGAGGUGAAAUUCUUGGAUUUCCGAAAGACGAACUACAGCGAAGGCAUUUACCAAGCAUGUUUUCAU